rnacentral:lncRNA from 1 species
CCCCGCCGCCUCUCGCCCGCCGCGGCGGGGCGCGGACGGGGAUCCCCGGGGCUCCGCGGGGCUCCGCGGGGACAGGCGGCCAGCUCGGGAUCGGAAGCGAGCAACAGGCUCUGCAUUGCCUCAGCGAAAAUCCGUCUCAGUGCCUCCGGGCUUGCUGUGUCCGCACGGCUUUAGUGUGUGCUCUUACCCACAGCUUGAAACCGGGGAUACCUAUACACAAGAAACACAUGGCAGUGGAGUUCUCGGAAUUGCCCUAUGUGCUCUGUCUCCUGCAUACUACUCAUAAGUUUCACGUGGAUCAGGAGCAUGGAGCUUCUCCUCUGUCUUGUGCAGCCCUGAACAGGCUAGUUCUGCAAAGAACCUUAUCUGUAAUAAUAGGACCCACUUCUACACUGAGGUUGCAAAAUAGAAGAUGUUAUCAGGACUGAUGUGGCUGCUCCCAUCUGCUACCCCAAAAGACAAGGCUUGCAAUACCAUUGGAAUAAAGUCUACUCCUACAGAACCCUACA